AGUGAACGCUGGCGGUAGGCCUAACACAUGCCAGUCGAACGGCAGCACAGUAAGAGCUUGCUCUUACGGGUGGCGAGUGGCGGACGGGUGAGGAAUACAUCGGAAUCUACUUUUUCGUGGGGGAUAACGUAGGGAAACUUACGCUAAUACCGCAUACGACCUACGGGUGAAAGCAGGGGAUCUUCGGACCUUGCGCGAUUGAAUGAGCCGAUGUCGGAUUAGCUAGUUGGCGGGGUAAAGGCCCACCACGGCGACGAUCCGUAGCUGGUCUGAGAGGAUGAUCAGCAACACUGGAAUUGAGACACGGUCCAGACUCCUACGGGAGGCAGCAGUGGGGAAUAUUGGACAAUGGGCGCAAGCCUGAUCCAGCCAUACCGCGUGGGUGAAGAAGGCCUUCGGGUUGUAAAGCCCUUUUGUUGGGAAAGAAAAGCAGCAGGUUAAUACCCCGCUGUUCUGACGGUACCCAAAGAAUAAGCACCGGCUAACUUCGUG
rnacentral:rRNA from 1 species